rnacentral:rRNA from 1 species
CCUACGGGUGGCUGCAGUGGGGAAUAUUGCACAAUGGGGGAAACCCUGAUGCAGCGACGCCGCGUGAGUGAAGAAGUUCCUCGGUACGUAAAGCUCUAUUAGCAGGGAAGAAAAUGCCGGUAACUGACUGAUCACCCUCGGCUAACUACGUGCCAGCCGCCGCGGUAAUACGAAGUGGGAAAGCCUUUGCCGGUUUUACUGGGGGGAAAGGGAGCGGAGACGGGAGAUCAAGCCUGGAGUGAAAUCCCUGGGCUUAACCCCGGAAGUGCAUUGGAAACUGGGCGGCGGGAGUGCAGGAGAGGAAAGCGGAAUUCCUAGUGUAGCGGUGAAAUGCGUAGAUAUUAGGAGGAACACCAGUGGCGAAGGCGGCUUGCUGGACUGUAACUGACGCUGAGGCUCGAAAGCGUGGGGAGCAAACAGGAUUAGAUACCCCGGUAGUC